rnacentral:rRNA from 1 species
GACGUAGGGCGCGAGCGUUGUCCGGAUUUAUUGGGCGUAAAGAGCUCGUAGGCGGCUUGUUGCGUCGACCGUGAAAACCCGGGGCUCAACUUCGGGCUUGCGGUCGAUACGGGCGGGCUAGAGUUCGGUAGGGGAGACUGGAAUUCCUGGUGUAGCGGUGAAAUGCGUAGAUAUCUGGAGGAACACCGGUGGCAAAGGCGGCAUCCUGGACCGACACUGACGCUGAGGAGCGAAAGCCAGGGGAGCAAACGGG